rnacentral:rRNA from 1 species
CCUACGGGUGGCUGCAGUAGGGAAUAUUGGACAAUGGGCGAAAGCCUGAUCCAGCAACGCCGCGUGUGCGAUGACGGCCUUCGGGUUGUAAAGCACUUUUAGAGGAGAUGAGAAAGGACAGUAUCCUCUGAAUAAGCCUCGGCGAACUACGUGCCAGCAGCCGCGGUAAAACGUAGGAGGCUAGCGUUAUCCGGAUUUAUUGGGCGUAAAGCGCGUGCAGGCGGUUUAGUAAGUUGGAUGUGAAAGCUCCUGGCUUAACUGGGAGAGGUCGUUCAAAACUGCUAGACUAGAGAAUGGGAGAGGGAGGUGGAAUUCCGGGUGUAGUGGUGAAAUGCGUAGAUAUCCGGAGGAACACCAGUGGCGAAAGCGGCCUCCUGGACCACUUCUGACGCUAAGACGCGAAAGCUAGGGUAGCAAACGGGCUUAGAUACCCCGGUAGUC